AUUGAUAAAAUAUUCCUAAAUUAACAAAACCUAUCUAAUUGAACUCUGUUACCUAUACAAAAUCAGAAAUUAUUUUGAACGAAUCCAGUUAAAAGAAAUAACAUUCCCGAUAAAAACCUAACUAUGGAGAAUAUCAAGUCCCUUCAGAAUCCUCCCAAAAAAUGUAGCUUUUUAAAGUAAUUAUAUUUACAUUGUGUCAAUUCUGUUCUUUCUUACAUAAUUAUAAUACUUAAACAAUUAAAUAAUACUUGAACCGGUUGUUAAGUCUUCUGAUAUUUCUUGUUAAAAUUAUGUUAGAUGUCAGCAAGGUCAAAGUUGUGGAGGGUAUCUAAGGGUCCUGAUUCCUCGAAAUGUUUUCCAUGUAAAACGAGUUAAGUAAAUAAAAGUGAAUUGAAUUUAAAACAAAUGUUGGCCCUACAUGAAAUGUAUUCCAUGGAUGAUGUAAGUAUAAUACGUAUAUAAGUAUUAUUGAAAGUGUCUUAAAUAAAAUAAUUUCAUUCUCCUCCAACUAUCCAUUUAGCCAUCUCUAUUUCUAUCUUCCUCGCCCACUCAUUUCUCAUAUAUUUUAUUUCAUUACAAUUCUGAUUGCUUCCAAUUCCCUUUUCUUCUUAGCAUAAUCAAAUCAUCUCAGUCUAUUUUAUUUUAUUUUGUUUACUAUCUAUCCACAUUGUAUUUAUGCAUUCUUUAUCCUAUCAUCUUUCGUCACUCCACUCAUCCACUUAAGACUUUUCAUCUAUGCUACAUUCAUUCUCUGUUCUAUUAUUCUAGCUACCACUUAACACUCCGAACCAUACAACAUAGUUGGUCUCAUCACACUUUUGUAAAACUUCUCUUUAAGGCUCGUUGGAAUUCUCUUAAUACAUGAAACAUAUUUUUUCCAACCACACUUAAUCCUAUGUUUCACAUCCUCGUCAAAACCACGAUUAUUGUGAACAAAAAUCCUAAACUUCAAGAUUUUUAACCUCUCCAAUUACGUCACUGUAUUAACCUGUUCCUCCAAACUCAUAUUCUAUAUACCCUAUUUUACGAUAACUUAUCCUUAAUCUUUUUACUUUAAGCCCUAAUCUUUAUUUCUCGAGCAGAUUAUUAACUUUUUCCACAUUUUCUCCUAUCUUAACUGCAUUAUCUGCAAAUAUAUUUUACCACAGAACCUUCCCCCCUUCUUCACCUUUUGUCUUCGUGAACAUGUAAAAUCCUCAUAAGUAUUGUUUAGAACUCCUCAUUUUUUUUGACCGAAUUUAACACUGUCAAACUGACGCAAUCCCAUUUGUCAUGUAUUAUGACAGAUAGAGGUACCGUGGGAGUAUUCUGAUCCUCUUCCACUGAGAAAAUGGUGAAUUCCUCCACCAUACAGAAACAAUAUAAUUUUCCAACUGAAAUCAUACUCUUUGGUUUUCUACAAAUAGAACCUCGGGGCCCUAGGUUCACUAAACUCAUAGCAUCAUAUGCCCCCUUGAGGUUGCUGAAAUUGUAUUCUUAUCUUAUUUUACUGUUAGAUAAAAAUAUUUAAAAAAUAUUAUUACCAGUUUAACAUAAUAAUAUAUAAUUGCAUUUUACUAUUCAGUAAUCAAUAUGCAUAAAUUGAUUUUAUUAUUUUUUGUCGUUAUAUUGCUUACAGUUUUAUAAUAUUUUGUAAUCUAAUUUUUCGUAUGAUUUUGUUACAAACUCGUAUGUUGUCAUUAAUAAUCAAAACAAAAUUAACUGUAUAAUCAAUAUCUGCAUCGUUUCCUAUACAGCCAUUUAUAACUGAAAUAUCAACAAUAAGUAAAAAUCCAGCUUUUCAAUAGACCCCGCCGAAAUGCC